AUGUCGAAGGUGUCCUUCAAGAUCACGCUGACGUUGGACCCGCGGCUGCCGUACAAAGGACUGAGUGUUCCUGAAAGUACACCUUUCAUAGCAGUCUUAAAGUUUGCUGCGGAAGAAUUUAAAGUGCCUGCAGCAACAAGUGCAAUUAUUACCAAUGAUGGAAUAGGAAUAAAUCCUACACAGACUGCUGGAAAUGUUUUUCUGAAGCAUGGUUCAGAACUGCGAAUUAUCCCUAGAGAUCGUGUUGGAAGUUGCUAAUAUCUACUGGGAACAUAUGAUUACCUUUCAGAAUAAAAAUUGCUAUUUUAG